GGGGCUCGAAGAGAGCAUGCGCAGUGACAGCUACUGAAACCCUCCCUGACCUGGGCCAGAGAGGACAGAAGUGCCCCCGGGGCAGGAUGGGAGAUGUAGUUCCUGACUCUCCAGGGAGCGGAAGCGACGUUAGGCCGAGGGAGGACUUGAUAGGCAGUGAACGCGCGCGGGUCGCUGCAGCUCUGCCUGGCUCGUGCUGGGGCCGUUGGAUCCUCCUGGAGCCGGAGAAGAGUUUUCGUGUCUCCCGGCUCUAGGCAUGCGCAGAUCGGGGGGAGGGGUUGGGGAGAGCGCCGCAUGCGCAGUGGCAGAGCUGCCCCGCUGCUGCUCACUGGCGCUGCGGGGCUGGGCUGAGCAGAGGGUCUGUGUCGGGGAGACCUUCAUUAACUCCCCGGGCCCUGCUCCCGCUGGAGCCACCCCCCUGCUGCGGAGCUGCAGCCUCCAGUGACCAAUACCAGGUGCCCCGGAGUGAGUUGAACCUAACAGUUUAUUUGGAGAGUGUUGGGAUUCCUACCAGGGAGCCACCAGCAGGGUCCAGAGACAGCCCCAUCUCCUAUAUCAGGCUGUGGCUAGUAGGUACCAGUGACUUUCAAGGAGGUGGCUGUAUAUUUCACCAGGGAAGAGGUGGCUGUGCUGGACCCCACUCCGAGAGCCCUCUUCAGGGAUGUCAUGCAGGAGAACUACGAGACUGUGGUCUGGCUGGGUAAGGAGUCCUGUCCUCUGGGUUAUAAGAAGCUGUGGAGUCUCUAAAGAACUUGAGUAGUAAUAACUUUAUACCUGUAUUUGUCAUGCAAGUUUUGACAAGUCUGUGUCUCCCUCUUCCCCCCUUCCCCCCCCACACUUUCUUUGCCUUAUCUCCCACCCACUAGAAUAAUUUUUGGACAUGUGCCUUUUUGGUGCUGUCAAUCAUUUUAAAAUUGCAUUUAAUUUAUCAUUAUUGGGUACACUAAUAACUAGAGCUUUCAUGCCUUUUUCCUCAUUUUAAAAGGAAAAUAUGUUGCCUGUAAAAUUCUAAAUUGAGUAAAUAGGUGUACAUGCAAGACUCAUGCAUGUCUUGUGUGACAGUCAGAUGAGGUCAGCUUUUGAUAGGAGAGUGUAUAAUGUUGCCAUUCAGGAUCCCAUGGGUGAAGGGAGAACAGAGCCAUGGGAGGGGAGGAGAAGCGGGGAGUAGCUAAUUCUGGGGUGCUAGGACAUGGGGAGUGUGUGUGCCGGAUUAGAGGUAAGAAGGAGCAGGGAGGGAUUAGGCAGUGAGAGACGAGGAGGGAACAUAGGAAGCUCCCAAGGUGCCUGGACGUGGUGGUGGCUGAGAGUAAUGGGAAGAAGGUGAGGGGAGUGUGGAGGAAAGGCACCCAGGAGUUGGGCUGGGUGGAUCAGUGGGAGGUAAGAGAGUUUUGGGGAUCUAGCUGUGGGGGAUCCCAGAUCUCUAACCCCAAAUCCCUGUCCAGGCCUUUUUGCUUUACAGCCUGCACUCCAGUUUUAUUUCUGUUCACUUUCACUUCAUUAUACAUUUUCCCCCAAACAUUAUUAUUUUAACUCUUGACCUCCCUCUCCCACUCAUUACCUCCCUCCCCAUAUAACCUCCCCGUCUCUAUGCACAGCAACCCCAUCCACCGAUCCUGAGUCCUUGCUGCAUUCCUCCCUCCCACAGCAGGGCCACUACCCAGGCACAAAUGGGCACUUUGUUGAUGAUGUCAGGGUGGUAGUAUAGGCUGUACAAUUUUUACACCUACGUAUUGAGGUACAACUUGCCCUUUUACAUGGCUGCUCAAAGUUAAUUGAGAAGAUGGAAUUUGGUGAAACAUACAAACUUAAUUUAAUACAGGCAGUUAUAAUUGGAAUCAUAGGCAAGGAUCAAUAUGCAUAAUGAUUAGACUAAGGUAAGUAUAGUAAAGAGCGUCUUGCACUGUGCAUACUUCCAAGUUAUAGACACCACUGGAAACAAAGAUCGAGGGGCAAGGGAGUCCAUCAGAAGGAAGGUCCUCCUUCAGUUUACGCUGUCUCAGUGACCUGACAAAAUGAAAAAAUAGUAACUAAGAGAGGUAUUUUAUCCACUUAUGGUAAUAGGAUGGCUAUAUACUAUAUCUGCUCCUUUACUCUGAUUACAGUAAUAUCAAUAGCUGCCCCAACCCAUAUGUGGCCUUUGGGAAGUCCAUAAUUCAGCAUCAAGCAUUAAUACUCAUGAUUUACAUCACUAUUUAUUAAUAAUUCUAAUAUAUGAAUGCGGCCCAACUGCUGAGAUACUGCACAGCAACCUAACUGCUAAAGCCCGUCCCUUCUUUCAGAAUCCUGUGGUGUAAUGCACCUGUUGGUGAUUACUUGUUAGUUUUUCAAAAUGUGGGGUCAAAAUAUCUCACCUAGGAUUCUCUCCUUAUCCUGAGGCCUAUUCAGCUAAAUCCUAGACUUCAUAAUCACUCCCACAAAGUGUCAACCUAAUAUAAGGCCCUUAACUGUAGCAAGCUUAGGCUAUGUUUACACUACCGCGGUCAGUUGACCUACGCUAUGCAACUCCAGCUACAUGAAUAAUAUAGCUGGAGUGGACAUAACAUAGGUUGAGUUACUGCAGGAUGUACACUAUGGGGGGUCGACGGGAGAGCGUCGGGGUAGAGUUAGCGGUAGAAUACAGGGGUUUACUGGAGAGCCAGCUGCAGUCAAUCUGCAGUUGAUUUGGUGGGUCUUAACUAGACCCACUAAAUUAACCACCAGUGGAUCAAUCUCAGAGUGUGGAUCCUGGCUGUAGCGUAGACCUGCCCUUAAUAGCCCAUUUAUUUAUGUUCACUUCCUUGACCCUCCAUGCAUAUUGCAAGCUAAUAAACAAUUUUCUGAUAAUGACAUUUUAUCUCUAGCAAGUAUAAAAUUGCACACAAGACUUGAGACUAGGACAAAGAUCAUAAAAUCAGGGUGGGGUGAACAGGAGUGAGAGUUUGGAGAGACUCUUGGCCCCGCUCUCUCCAUCUGCAGCAGCCACAAGCUGCCUUCCCUCUGGGCUCCUUGGAUAUUGGAGCCUGUCCCUUCUGACAUUGCAUGGCCCAGUUCUUGUUUCUUACAUUCUCCUUUUUUGGAUUCAGAGUAGCAGCUGUGUUAGUCUGUAUCAGUGUUUAAAAAAAAAAAAAAAAGUGUACUUGUGGCACCUUAGAGACAAACAAAUUUAUUGGAGCAUAAGCUUUUGUGAGCUACAGCUCACUUCAUCGGAAGAAUUAGAGGCUGUUGCUCCUGAAUUUCAGUGUUUAAUUCCCCAGCCUUCUCCAUUCACUGGGGGAGUUUAAUUCUCCCUCCCAUUAUACCUGAAUCACUAGAUUUCCUAAUUCCCCACAAUGUGCUUUUGCGAUAUCAUAAUUCUGGGACAGCUAAGCCUCUGACCUGCCUCCAUGGUCUGCUCAAGGAAUGCCCUCUCAGGUAUCAGGCCUCUAUCCAGCCCCUCUCUACGGGUAGGGACCCACAUGCCUCUCCUUUUUGACCAGGUUUGAGGAUUGCAGCUUCUCCUACACUGUGUUCACUGGACUAACCUCCAGUUCCUGUGCUUUGCUUUUUCUCCAAGGGUUGUAAGCACUGUGUGUAUCAUAGAGUUGGGAAUUUUGGUGAUGCUUCUAUGAUGCCAAUACGCACCUCAGUUUUCCUCUCUGAUUGGUAUUGCUAUGAUUAGAAAGAGCAGGAGACAUGAGGUGUUUGUCACGUAGCUGUCAGGAGGUGAUAUGAAUGGGUCAUUAAGGACUGGCUGCGACUAACCCACAUCAAUGGAAUACCCGACAGAGACAAGGGAAUAAUUGUCAUCCGUUCACGGGAGGAUCUUCCCUUGGCUGAGUGAAGCAUUUAUGGACUUAUGUUUUUGGGAGCGGGAAAAACUGGGCUCGCAGAUGCAGGGAGCUCUAUUGGAGAGAAGACAAAUGGACAGGGUUUCCAAUUUCCAAACCUGAUGUGAUCUCGCAGCAGGAAUGAGGGGAAUAGCCGUGGGUCUUAUACCUCUGUGGCUCUGAAAAAAAGUGCUGUCUGCACAGGGAGUGACCUAUGUCUGGAUUCUCUCCGUCUCCCAUCAGUGACGGGAUGAGGAAGCCACGGCACCCUGGAAGCUCUGCUGGGCAUGCUCCAACUGGAGAACACGUAUAAAAGCCUGCAGAGUUUCUCAGUCUAGGCUGACUGCCGGAGGGGAAGGAGGCACGCUGCCAGCUCCUGAGGAGGGACAGCCCACGCUCCAGGAUCCAGAGGCAGCCAAGCCGAGGCCCAGAUGGAGGAUGCCACAGGAGGGGAACAGACUGGAGGAUCCCCCCAAAGUGGAGUACACUGUGUUUAUGGUAGGGAGUGACCCAGAGGAACUUUAAAGACAAAGUGUGUUAGAGCCGCAACGACACUCGGCAUGUUGCAGGCGGAUCCCCGUUGAGCUAAGGCCAAGAGGAACCCCGCCACUAGCAGGGCCCUGGGUCAGGACCUGGUGGAGAGAUCGGGGCCAGGUCCUCCUGCUGCCCCACCCACACUGCCCUGACACUUGAGGCGAGCUGCAUGGACUCUGGCCACUGGGCUGUACUACCCUGCCUAAGAGGGGGAGGGUGGCCAUUGGGGCACACUUCCCUAACACGUGUGGGUGAGCUGCAUGGACUCCGGCCUCUAGGCCGCACCACCCCACCUGUGAGGGGGAAGUUAUAUAGACUCUGGCUGUUGGGCUGCACCACCCUGAUACUUGGGGCGAGUUACCUGGACUCUGGCCACUAGGCUGCACUACCCUGCCUGAGAGGGGGAAGUUGUAUAGACUCUGACUGUUGGGCUGCACUACCUUGCCUGCGAGGGGGAAGGUAUAUGGACUCUGGCCGUUGCGCCACACUGCCCUGAAACUUGGGGCAAGUUACCUGGACUCUGGCCAUUGAGUCACACUCCCCUGACGUUGGAAGAGAUUUAUACAGACUCUGAUCGUUAGGACCGCAACCCCGAUCAAAGGGGUGAUUGUGCAGAAACAGGCCAUUAGGCCAUAUUGGGCCGCCCACAGAGAGAUGGGCAUGGAAGACUUGAGAGUGGUGAGGGUUCGACACCCCAUCCCACCCCUGCCAGAAAGGGGUGCUGUGGUGCCAGAUCCGCCACAGGCUGAUUGUGAUAACUUUCAGUGUUCCAAUAUAAUUCAAGUUUUUUCUUCCAGUUCUCUCCCUGUCCCCUCCUACUGUAUAGGAAAUUGUUGCUAAUCCUGAAAUUAAAACCUCACUCCAAAGGAAUUAGAGUGGAGGAAUAUGUGAGAAAAAUAGCAUGUAUGAAAAUAGAGACCCAGUAUAGACUGUCGUCAUUUCUAUUUAAAAUUGAAUUUAUUUUGAUGAAUUUUUAAAUAAAUCAUCUGUUAGGAGGAAAAUUACUUGAGACAAGACGUGUAACCUUUUACCCAGUUAGAGGGUAACAGCCACAGAGUUCCCCAGGUCUCUUGUUUUCAAAGCAAAGAUGUCACAUAAGGCAGGACAUGUCAAAAUCUAAACUGGUGAUGGAUGUGUGAUGUAGCUUUUCUGGGUUGUUUUUUUGGUUUGGUUUGGUUUUUUCAUUUAAUUUUUGUUUUGUUUUUGCAACCAGUUAUUUUUAUAGGUGCUGAGGCCCCUUUUCCUUUUAAGUACAACACUUUAACUCUCAGGCCUGGUGCUGGAAACCUCCUAAGAACUGGCCUUGUGUUUCUUUUAUCUUUGAUAUCUUUGGGGUUCACACAUCCACACAACAUGUGGUUCACAGCAACAGAUACUUUGAGAAACCUGCUGGGUUAAGUGGGCCUUUUCCAAACUGACAUUGGCCUAAAGUCUGCCUCAGUUCAGCUGGAUUGGGACACAUCUGUAUCAAGGGAGUGGGUCACACCUGAUUUUUCCCAGAGACCUUGGGGGAGGGGUGGUAAAAUAGGAUAAGUACGAAUCUACAACAAUGAAGUUAAAGAUCAGGGUGAAAGACCCUCACUUUGCAAGUUAAAAAGCCUGUUCUGUUCAUUCCCUCUGGCAGUGGUCACUCUCCGGCAGCACACGGGGUUAGAUGGACCACUGGUCUGAUCCAGUAUGACCAGUCUUGAGUUCUUAUAUAAGCCCUCUACAGCCUUGUCUACACUGGCAAGUGUCUGCACAGUCAACCAGAUUUCUGCGGUGUAACUUCUGAAGUGUGCACACUGUCAAGCCACUUAGUGCACAGAAACUGCUCAGUAGCAGCGCUGUAAAAAAACCCACCUUCAUGAGAGGCGUACAGAUUUCUGUGCCAGGGCUACAAUGCUGCGGUGCCAGUGUAGACAUCCUGUUUCAUUACAGCUCUGCAACUGGCCUCGGGUAGGUGUCCCACAAUCUCUGUUCUCAUCUCUCUCGUCCUUGGUUUGAACUCUACCGCCCUGCCCUCAGGUGAUUAACAGGAAAUGCCACCCCUUAAAUUCCUUGGGAAUUUUGAAAGUCCCACUUCCCACAGAGACCAAUUAUGGUUACAGACCCAUCCUGAAAUUAGAGCAGGAUAUUUUAAAGCUUUAUCUCAUAGUAAAGUAACACAAUUCAAACAUGUUAUCGCAGAGGAUAAAGCACUCCAUUUCAUGUGUAUUGCUACUGCUCUCACUGAAAAACUUUCUUGGUGCUGCUCCCAGCACUUUAGGGAGUUUUUCCUCUUCUCCCUUCCAGCUGAGGUUAUGAGACUGAAGCACCUCUCCAGAUGGCCAGCUUUGCUCUUUGACUUACAUCCUUCACUUAUUUGAAUGAAGCUGUGUCUGCUACCAGUUUAUUUCAUAGCUGAGACCUCAGGUACCAGCAGCUAAUUACAAAGGCUAAAUUCCCAUUGCCAUCAGUGGGAGGAUAUCCUAGGCUGCCAGGGCUGCAGGAUUUGGUCCAUGAUCAACCAAGGUGCUACAACAGCUGCACUUUUACAUGGUGAAUCCUGCAGCCUAUUACUAAACUGCUCUGCCAUAGUCUGCAGGGUGGCCUGACUUGCUGAGAAUCUGGCAGAAGAGAGACCCUCGAGCAGAGAAGGAAAAUGUCCUCAGCAGUCAUAGCCGGCAGGAGCAGGAAAGUUUGGGUUUGUUUUUAAACUUCUCUCCCUGCUCAAGCCUUUAAUCAUUCCUGUGGCUCUUCUCUGAGCCCUCUGCAAUUUAUCAGGGAAAACCAACCAACCGAGCCAGGCUGUUCUGAGUGAUGUAACAAUCUAUUGCCUUCUAAGGUUGAAUAUCAGUUCAGUCAUCCUGUUCACCCAAGAGUUCAACUUUAAGGCCUUUUUGUUUUCUAGUUCCAAUCAAAUCCUCUGCAACAACAUCAUUGUUAACUCAUCAUUUGGUCACUUCACAUUUACAGGUUCCCAGAGCUGGCAGGUCUAAGUCUUUCCUCCGACACCACCAUGAAAAAAAUCAGUGACAGAAAAUGCCCUAAAGCCCCUCUGCUGCCUUGCCCACUAGACUGGGGAAAUACAUGAGGGAAAGCGCUUUCCUCUCUUCUCCUGACCCUGAGUAACAUUUCUGUCUAUCCUUGAGAUCCUGCCACAGGGACAAGGGUUGAGGAUGCAUAUGAUAUGUUAAGGCUUCAUCGGUUUGUUCAUUCCUUUACUCCUUCAUUAGUAACAAGGGUGCAUGAGCUCGAAAUAGUCCAGCUCUGACUUUCACACAGGAGGCUAUUUCCAGGCUCACAAUUACCAAAAAAAAAAAAUAAAAAUAAAAAAAUCUGUCUUUCUAACCUGAACAAGUUGAAUCUGGAGUCACUGAGCCCCAGGAUGCCUUUCUUUCAUCAAAUAUUUUUGGAGUAUAUCACAUUAACUGGGUAGGUCUUCCCCUAGGAAGUGUCUGUCCAGUGGCAGCACCCCGUGCACACUCCCCAUUUACGAACUCAUCUUCAGGGUACAGGCCAUUGAACCUAGCGAGGCGGGGAGGAUCCCUUUGGUUGGGCUUCAGCCUAAGCAAGCUCCUGAAGCCAGAGCCUGGCAAGCCUGAGUCAGCUGGCCUGGGCCAGUUAUGGAUUUUUAAUUGUACUGUAGACAUAUACUUGGUGUCAAAAUCCCAGUUUUCUCAUCAGAAAAUCAAGCCCUAGUCCCCCACGUGACAGGUCAGGAUAGUCACCACUAUAUUCAUGAGGUCAGAACUGACAACUGCCCCUGCAUAGGGACCUAGGGGAAUAACUUGUCCAGCUCCUGGAACAGCUUUGUACAAACAUUUUUCCCAUCAAAAUGAUCCAGGGCUUUUAAAAUGAGAGUAAGAGAACAAACUAACUCAAAACCAGAGAAACUGCUAUCAAUCUCCCCAUCACACACAGUUUGGGUCUGAAUUUUUCUACUGAAGUUGUGAGGCAAUAAAACACUGCUAUUGUCCAGAAACAAACCUAAACCUCCCGUGCAUUAUCUAGGACUUUGAUUGCUGAACCACCAGUGCUUCAGCUCCUUCUGUGAGAUUAGCAGCUGCCCAUUACUACUGAUAUUCCAGGGGAGCAAUUCUUGACUCCAGUAAGCAUUGAUCUCAGCCCCGUUCUGUGUAUCACAGGUUUCUCUAGGAAAGGGCAGUGAAUGGUUCUAGGGUUCUGUGGUCCUCAAUCAAAUCAGGCCAGAACAUGAGAAUCCUUCCCCUUUCCCAAGUUGUGGAAGGGGAGACAUUUAAAGGAGUACUCUGAGCUAUAGCACGUGGCUAAGUAAAGAGAAAAAGCCCUAAAUUCUCCCUCUGCUUUGGUUGCUGGGUUUACUCCUGAAGCAUCUGCUACCCACGUAGUCCCUAUGGAUCACCCCUAACCCUUGAUGCUGCUCCUUUCUACAGAAUGUGAAAGGAGCGGAGGCAGUGCAGGUGCCUUCUGGGGACACAGAUCUGAGGCUUUGGGAGAGAGAGAUUGUCUGAGACAUCUGAGUGCUAUAAACCAUGCAGCUAUAAACCACCUAAAUCAGUGGCCUGUUCCAGCCCUGAGUCUGAGCUACCAGGGUCCCUCCCACAAAGCAGGGUGCCCACAGACUACAGCCUGAAAAUAGGCAAUUGAAACUAACUCAUGCUCUCCCUGUUGUGGCUUCCUCUAGACCAAAUGGCAUCCCAGCCAAGAAGCAUCUUUGGUGCCCCCCCAUGUUAAACCUUUGAAUACCUUAUUUUUUAUUGCAUUUGUAGCUCAUUUCAUGAUUUCAAUGCACAAUUUGGAUGCAUGAUUUUCUGUGUCAUAAGACAAUAAAUUUGCAUGCUACAAUCUGUAUUUAUUCAUGCCAUAUAUAAGCAAAUAAAAAAAAUCUUUUCCUUUAAG